rnacentral:ncRNA from 1 species
UGUAGGUGGCUUUUCAAGCCCGCUGUCAAAUCCCAGGGCUCAACCCUGGACAGGCGGUGGAAACUACCAAGCUGGAGUACAGGAGGGGCUGAGGGAAUUUCCGGUGGAGCGGUGAAAUGAGUAGAGAUCGGAAAGUACACCAACGAAACUCACUAAAUCAAAUCAACAAUAGAUUAACUUAUCAUGAUCAACCUCAAGCAACUCAGAUUUAAG